ACGAUGAACGCUGGCGGCGUGCCUAACACAUGCAAGUCGAACGGUCUCGCAAGAGAUAGUGGCGCACGGGUGAGGAACACGUAGCUUACCUGCCCUUUACACUGAGAUAACCCUGCGAAAGCAGGGCUAAUAUCGGAUAAGCCCACGGGAAAGAGAUAGCCCGCGGGAAAAGCUCCGGCGGUAAAGGAGGGGGCUGCGGCCCAUCAGCUUGUUGGUGAGGUAACGGCUCACCAAGGCGACGACGGGUCGGGGGCCUGAGAGGGUGACCCCCCACACUGGGACUGAGACACGGCCCAGACUCCUACGGGAGGCAGCAGUGAGGAAUAUUGCUCAAUGGGCGCAAGCCUGAAGCAGCGACGCCGCGUGGACGAUGAAGGUCUUCGGAUCGUAAAGUCCUUUUCUGUGUGACGAGGAAGGACGGUAGCACAGGAAAAAGUGUCGGCUAACUACGUGCCAGCAGCCGCGGUAACACGUAGGACGCAAGCGUUAUCCGGAAUUACUGGGCGUAAAGAGCGUGUAGGUGGUUGCGUAAGUCAACCGUGAAAGCUCCCGGCUAAACUGGGAGAGGUCGGAUGAGACUGCGUGGCUAGAGGGUCGUAGAGGAAUGUGGAAUUCCGGGUGUAGUGGUGAAAUGCGUAGAGAUCCGGAGGAACACCAGAGGCGAAGGCGGCAUUCUGGACGACACCUGACACUGAGACGCGACAGCACGGGGAGCGAACGGGAUUAGAAACCCCGGUAGUCCGUGCCGUAAACGAUGUGUGCUAGAUGUUCGGUUGGCUACGGCUGGCUGAGCGUCGCAGCAAACGCGAUAAGCACACCGCCUGGGGAGUACGGUCGCAAGGCUAAAACUCAAAGGAAUUGACGGGGCCCCGCACAAGCAGCGGAGCGUGUGGUUUAAUUCGAGGCUACGCGAAGAACCUUACCUGGGUUUGACAUCCGGCGCUACCAUGUGAAAGCAUGGGUUCCGCAAGGACGCCGAGACAGGUGCUGCAUGGCUGUCGUCAGCUCGUGUCGUGAGAUGUUCGGUUAAGUCCGAAAACGAGCGCAACCCCCGGGUCCAGUUACACGUGUCUGGACCGACUGCCUGCGACAAGUGGGAGGAAGGUGGGGAUGACGUCAAGUCCUCAUGGCCCUUACGCGCUGGGCUACACACGUGCUACAGUGGCGGUGACAGUGGGCAGCAAACUCGCGAGAGUGAGCAAAUCCCCAAAACCGUCUCAGUUCGGAUUGUUCUCUGCAACUCGAGAGCAUGAAGGCGGAAUCGCUAGUAAUCGCGGAUCAGCAUGCCGCGGUGAAUACGUUCCCAGGCAUGCACACAC
rnacentral:rRNA from 1 species